GGGGCUCUUCGGAGCUCCACCA
rnacentral:tRNA from 1 species